rnacentral:rRNA from 1 species
AGCAUAAAAAGUAUUAGAGGCACUGCCUGCCCAGUGACAAACGUUUAACGGCCGCGGUAUCCUGACCGUGCAAAGGUAGCAUAAUCACUUGUUCCUUAAUUGGGGACUGGAAUGAAUGGCCACACGAGGAUUCAACUGUCUCUUACUUCCAAUCAGUGAAAUUGACCUUCCCGUGAAGAGGCGGGAAUAAUAUAAUAAGACGAGAAGACCCUAUGGAGCUUUAAUUUACUGACUUAUGUUUUACAACUACAAACCUAAUGGACUAAAUAAUAAGCUCUAAGUCAGUAAUUUCGGUUGGGGUGACCUCGGAGCAUAAAACAACCUCCGAAAGAUCUAAUAGCCAAGACAGACAAGUCAAAGCAACUAAAAAUCCAAUUGACCCAAUCUACUUUGAUCAACGGACCAAGUUACCCUAGGGAUAACAGCGCAAUCCUAUUCAAGAGUUCAUAUCGACAAUUAGGGU